GACGAACGCUGGCGGCGUGCUUAACACAUGCAAGUCGAACGGGAAGAGAUGAAGAGCUUGCUCUUUAUCAAAUCCAGUGGCAAACGGGUGAGUAACACGUAAACAACCUGCCUUCAGGAUGGAGACAACAGACGGAAACGACUGCUAAUACCGAAUACGUUCCACGGGCCGCAUGACCUGUGGAAGAAAGGGUAGCCUCUACCUGUAAGCUAUCGCCUGAAGAGGGGUUUGCGUCUGAUUAGGCAGUUGGUAGGGUAACGGCCCACCAAACCAACGAUCAGUAGCCGGUCUGAGAGGAUGAACGGCCACACUGGAACUGAGACACGGUCCAGACUCCUACGGGAGGCAGCAGUGGGGAAUCUCCCGCAAUGGACGAAAGUCUGACGGAGCAACGCCGCGUGAGUGAAGACGGCCUUCGGGUUGUAAAGCUCUGUGAUCCGGGACGAAAGAGCCUGAGGUGAAUAGCCUAAGGAAGUGACGGUACCGGAAAAGCAAGCCACGGCUAACUACGUGCCAGCAGCCGCGGUAA
rnacentral:rRNA from 1 species